rnacentral:rRNA from 1 species
GACGAACGCUGGCGGCGUGCUUAACACAUGCAAGUCGAACGGAAAGGUCCUGCUUUUGUGGGGUGCUCGAGUGGCGAACGGGUGAGUAACACGUGAGUAACCUGCCCUUGACUUUGGGAUAACUUCAGGAAACUGGGGCUAAUACCGGAUAGGAGCUCCUGCUGCAUGGUGGGGGUUGGAAAGUUUCGGCGGUUGGGGAUGGACUCGCGGCUUAUCAGCUUGUUGGUGGGGUAGUGGCUUACCAAGGCUUUGACGGGUAGCCGGCCUGAGAGGGUGACCGGCCACAUUGGGACUGAGAUACGGCGCAGACUCCUACGGGAGGCAUCAGUGGGGAAUAUUGCACAAUGGGCGGAAGCCUGAUGCAGCAACGCCGCGUGCGGGAUGACGGCCUUCGGGUUGUAAACCGCUUUCGCCUGUGACGAAGCGUGAGUGACGGUAAUGGGUAAAGAAGCACCGGCUAACUACGUG